UUAAAUUGAAGAGUUUGAUCAUGGCUCAGAUUGAACGCUGGCGGCAGGCCUAACACAUGCAAGUCGAGCGGUAGCACAGAGAGCUUGCUCUCGGGUGACGAGCGGCGGACGGGUGAGUAAUGUCUGGGAAACUGCCUGAUGGAGGGGGAUAACUACUGGAAACGGUAGCUAAUACCGCAUAACGUCGCAAGACCAAAGUGGGGGACCUUCGGGCCUCAUGCCAUCAGAUGUGCCCAGAUGGGAUUAGCUAGUAGGUGGGGUAACGGCUCACCUAGGCGACGAUCCCUAGCUGGUCUGAGAGGAUGACCAGCCACACUGGAACUGAGACACGGUCCAGACUCCUACGGGAGGCAGCAGUGGGGAAUAUUGCACAAUGGGCGCAAGCCUGAUGCAGCCAUGCCGCGUGUGUGAAGAAGGCCUUCGGGUUGUAAAGCACUUUCAGCGGGGAGGAAGGCGUUAAGGUUAAUAACCUUGGCGAUUGACGUUACCCGCAGAAGAAGCACCGGCUAACUCCGUGCCAGCAGCCGCGGUAAUACGGAGGGUGCAAGCGUUAAUCGGAAUUACUGGGCGUAAAGCGCACGCAGGCGGUCUGUCAAGUCGGAUGUGAAAUCCCCGGGCUCAACCUGGGAACUGCAUUCGAAACUGGCAGGCUAGAGUCUUGUAGAGGGGGGUAGAAUUCCAGGUGUAGCGGUGAAAUGCGUAGAGAUCUGGAGGAAUACCGGUGGCGAAGGCGGCCCCCUGGACAAAGACUGACGCUCAGGUGCGAAAGCGUGGGGAGCAAACAGGAUUAGAUACCCUGGUAGUCCACGCCGUAAACGAUGUCGAUUUGGAGGUUGUGCCCUUGAGGCGUGGCUUCCGGAGCUAACGCGUUAAAUCGACCGCCUGGGGAGUACGGCCGCAAGGUUAAAACUCAAAUGAAUUGACGGGGGCCCGCACAAGCGGUGGAGCAUGUGGUUUAAUUCGAUGCAACGCGAAGAACCUUACCUGGUCUUGACAUCCACAGAACUUUCCAGAGAUGGAUUGGUGCCUUCGGGAACUGUGAGACAGGUGCUGCAUGGCUGUCGUCAGCUCGUGUUGUGAAAUGUUGGGUUAAGUCCCGCAACGAGCGCAACCCUUAUCCUUUGUUGCCAGCGGUUAGGCCGGGAACUCAAAGGAGACUGCCAGUGAUAAACUGGAGGAAGGUGGGGAUGACGUCAAGUCAUCAUGGCCCUUACGACCAGGGCUACACACGUGCUACAAUGGCAUAUACAAAGAGAAGCGACCUCGCGAGAGCAAGCGGACCUCAUAAAGUAUGUCGUAGUCCGGAUUGGAGUCUGCAACUCGACUCCAUGAAGUCGGAAUCGCUAGUAAUCGUAGAUCAGAAUGCUACGGUGAAUACGUUCCCGGGCCUUGUACACACCGCCCGUCACACCAUGGGAGUGGGUUGCAAAAGAAGUAGGUAGCUUAACCUUCGGGAGGGCGCUUACCACUUUGUGAUUCAUGACUGGGGUGAAGUCGUAACAAGGUAACCG
rnacentral:rRNA from 1 species